UGAGGAACAUGACUUUCGGCGGGGGAUAGCCGGCCCAACGGCCGGGUAAUACCGCGUACGACCUUUUGGGGACAUCCCCGAUUGGUGAAAGCAGCAAUGCGCCGAAAGAGUGCCUCGCGGCCUAUCAGCUAGUUGGUGAGGUAACGGCUCACCAAGGCAACGACGGGUANCUGGUCUGAGAGGAUGGCCAGCCACAUUGGGACUGAGACACGGUCCAGACUCCUACGGGAGCAGCAGG
rnacentral:rRNA from 1 species